rnacentral:lncRNA from 1 species
GGAGACCCUGCCGAUGCCACUCAGGGUCAAGACUCUGGCGCGGUGGAAACUGCAGAGCAAAAGGAAACACAGACAAAAACAGUGAGAAGGAGAGAGAGCAUGUGGGGCUUUGCCAGAGAGGAACUUGGAUGGCAAUCACCUAAGAACUCCAAACUCAGUGCCAGGGCAGACUGGUGUCUAUUUUGCAAUGUCUUCCAGUAGUUGAUAACUUUCUACUUUUAAAAUAAUUGGAAGAAUGUAAGCUCUCAACUAGUCCACUAGUCCCGAAACAAUAGAUACCAGCUGGCAGAGAUAAUAGCUGUCUGGAAGAGAGAGAUACAUACCACAUCAAAAAACAACAAAAAAAGGAUGGCUCAAGUACUCAAAAGGCAGCACUAAAAUAAGGCUAUGUCUCUUCCUGAGAAUACUCUGGACUUCAUUCUCUGAUUAAAGAUCACAACUGCUUCUUCGUUGAGGAAAUCAUGUAUUUCAAAGCCACCAAUGAACAAGGUAUGCAACUGCCUUUCUAAGCCAUGACUACAUUGCUAAAUGAAUCAUUGAUUUGGAAAAUCUGAAGUGACCUUCAGCUUGUUCUCCAGCUCUUCCUCAACAGAAAAGAGAGGCAAAAUCAGCAAAAUAUUGGAAAGAGGUAGUUUUUCUAAAGGUAUUUGUGGCAGGUAGAAGAUUGGAGGCCACUCAGCUAUGUGUGUAAGUGUGUGCAGGGAGAAAUUAGGUUCUAUAUUCAGAAGUGACAUUCUUUGUAUUUUCAGUGUGGCUCUAAAAACAGAGCCUUUUUCUUAUAGUUCAGAGUCAGACACUGCCCUUGGCUUCUCAGCCAUUCUAGUAAACUAUUUGUUACUCAGAAAGCCUCAAAUUCUUCAUUGAAUUUAUUUGGACCAGUUUUUGUGCACUUACCUCGUUGGCAUGGUAAUAGUCUUUUGAAUAACCAAUACUGUGAACAAUUAUACAAUUAAAAAUUCUACUUCCAUUAUUAUUCUUAACUUCUCCCUUUAUAUUUUGUUACAGUUAUGAGGUAUGUUUUAUUAACUAUUCUAGACAUAGAUCUAGCCCUGCAUUUACUCAGCACUGCCUUGCUCCUUUUCAUGAGGGGUGAUCUAGUUAGACAUAUCAAUAUUCAAUGAAAUGUAUAGAUUACCCUGAUAAAAUGGCUCAAUGAAGUUCAUGUAAGGUCAAUGGAAGAUUGAGGCAUCAUAUGCACUGAGCCACUAAUUGGUCUCAUACUAGUAGGAUAUAGCUAUCCCCACCCCCUAUAUCUUGAGUCUCCUUCCUCUUAGGUGCUGAGCAUUUCCAAAGGCUUCUCUAGCUGAAGCAGGUAUAAGAAAAUGAAGUGACAUAAAGCAUCAACCCUUAGGUAUAAAUGAUUGGCAAGUCUCAACCUUGCUAAAACUGAGACUUUUCAAUUAGCUAUGCUUAAAAGUUUCUACUGAAUUACUGAAGCCAUAAUUAUGUAUGUAAUUCAAGUUUCCUUUGAGCUGACCUACAAUGAAAGAAGUUACCUAAAUGACCUCUUAGGUCCUUUUCUCUCUCCAGCAAUCAUGGAUACUUUACGAAUCUCAUAAGGAGUACAGCUCAUUUAUUAUUAACACCAUUUUAGAAUGAAGGAAGAAGAGGCUUAGAAAGGUUUAGUAGCAGAGAAGAGAGCAGCCUUCUGAUUUGUGGGUUCCACAUUCUGGAUGCAGAAAACUUUCAGUCAUUCUUAUCUAUUGUGAGGCUUGUACCAGUUUCUCCAUAAACUUACAAAACCAAACCAUUUUGACAAGCUUUGUUCCUGCCUCUGACUUCUUUCAGAUAGUGGCUAACCAUCUUCUCUUGAUGAGUCAUUUUUGCUCUUCCUCAUUCCCUUCUUGAUGUUCAAGUAGGUGAACGUGAUGACUAUAAAAGGCAAGCAAUUAAUAUCUGGGGUUAGGCAGAGCUCUGUAAGCCAAUCUCCAAGAAUGUGCAAGCUCCUUUGUCCUUAACUGUAACCUUGGCACAUGAAAAGCAACUUCCAUUCCGUUUUACCAACAUUUCGGUCAAAGAUCAAUUGCCAUUGUAAUUAUAUCAUAUAUCACAGGAUGGGGAAUCAGUGAGAGGGCAGGCCCUUUAAACUAAUACAUAUCAUUAGCAUUUAAAGAACAUGAAAAACAAAUUGAACAUUAGUCCUCAUGUAAGUCUUUUUUCUAGAGCAAAUAAUUUUCCAAAUUAAAAUGAAUAAAUUAAUGAAAUUGUCACAUGUCUGAGAAUAAACUAGGUUGGUAAUGCCGUCAAGCUCUUAGCAAAGUUUAGCUCAUUGUACUUCUCUGUCUGAUCAUUAUAACAUCUAAUCAAGGGGAGCUUAAAUACUUCAAUGAGCUCUCAAAAUAAAUUUGAUCUGAGCAGCUCAGGUCUCAUGGAUUCCUAGGGUUACUGACUGGGUGAAACAUGUUUUUGUUUUAAUCCCUGUCUCAGCUCAAAGAGGAUUAAUGCCCGUAAUUCUGCUAUCCCCAUUUAAUUGAGAAAUGAAAUUUGAAGAGGCACCUCCUGGAACACUCCACUUUGAAAUAUGACCCAUCCACUGUCUAUAUAAUAAAUCUUCCUCUGCUCUCACACACUUAUCCACAUCCUUCCUAUCCCAAAGAAGGAGGAAAGAAAGUUAUUGUGUGUGUGUGUGUGUGUGUGUGUGUGUGUGUGUUUCUGUGCAUCUAAUCCAAAACACACAAUGUUGUUGUUUUAUUUUUCAAUUUUGGAAUUAUCCUAAUAAAGGCAUUCUCUGGGAAGCUCAGACUGCAUCUCAAACCUUUCUCUGACACUAGCAUCCUCAUUGGAACAAAUAGCCCUUUCACUAAAAGCAAUACAGUUAUUGCAUUCAUGUUAUAUGAUGGUAAUUUUCACUUUUGCUUUCAAUACAACAUUAAAAGAAAAAUUGUCUAUAGGAAAGAAAGAGGCAAUAUACUAUAUCCUGGAACUAAUUCUUUGGCAUCUGUAAAAAAGGGGGCCAUAAUUCUGAAUAGAGGCUCCUGUCCUAAAACAGACCCAAUGCUAAGAUCUAAUAGAAAGGGCACAGAGAAGCAUAAGGAAACUUAAUGUCACUUUCACGUUUUUUGUACAAGUUGAUGUGAGGAUCUAAAGAGGCAAUUUCUGUAAAAUGCCUAGUAGAGGACCAGGCAUAUAGUAAGCCCUCAGCAAAUGCUGGCUGUUAUCAUUAUGUUUUAUAAAGAAUUUUUACAUCUUCCUCCUAAGCCCUGAGGCUUCAUAACGAAGCCUUAUAUAUGACUCUCAAUGGCUCAAUGUCUUUCCUAACCUAAUGUAGAAAGUGACAUACCAUUGCUUCCAACAUAACCUAUUGGUCACAUGGACCAACAUAAGACCAAUGUGGGAUGACCCUGUACAUAAGGGUAAGAAGCAGGCAUCACUUGGGGCCAUCUCAAAGGAAGGUGACCACAACUGCCUAAUGGCAGUUGAAUCCUUUAUCAAGCUACCCUCAGUAACACUUCAGCUUUCAAGGACCAGGUUUUUGUGACUAUUGUGAACAGGAUUUUAGUGAAUGAAGAUAUAUCCCAAAAUAACAUUUCACUUAAAAGUUGAAUAUCUGUUAUCAAUUUACAAAUGCUUUUAUGUUAUAUCUCACUUGAGCUUCAAAAUAACCUUUUAAGACAGACAAGAGUAGAAACUACUCCAGUGAUUUCAUAGAUAAGGAAACUGAAGAUCAGAGAGACUUAAUGAUUAACCUAAGAUUUAAACUAGAUAUCCUCCUAGCAUUCUCAUGGCACUUAUUCUGCUAGCGUAGGCUGCCUUGUAUAUUUUUUAAAUGACUAUCUGUUUAUGUGCUGGUCAUGGGGUUUGCAGCAAAUCACAAGUGUGUAAUUUUUUUUUCUUAAAGGCAUUUAAUCUACUUUCUAAAAAUCACUAGAAUUCAGAAACUGAUACUACUUCUUUUGUUUCAUUAUUUGCCUCCCUGCCCCCAACACUCAUACAUAUUUAGAGACACCCAUGGACACUCAUGAACACACAUAUUCUUCUUUCUAGUCCCUUAUCAAUGGCAAACUAAAGUUAUUUUAGAAUAUACUAGCUGUCAUUGUGCCACAGAGAAACCUCUCUUUCAUGCAAAUUGAUAUAUGUAUAUAAUCAUACAUGUUUAUAUAUAAACUUUGUAGCUUUCCUCCCUCUUUUCUAAAAUAAAUUAUGAAAGGUUGUAUGUUCAGGCUUCACGCAGAAUUUUUCAUUUGAGGGAGACUUUUUCAACCCUUUCUAUUUGAGUUGGUAGCCAUUUAUAUGAAGAGAAAAUGAAUACUAAUGGAAAAUCCUAGAGUGGAUUUGGAAAAUCAUUAUAACAGUUCUGCUAUAGGUUUGGGCCUUUGACAAACCACCUAUUCAAGGAUGAAAAAUCCACUAUUUCUCUUCUGCAUUUCUUUUUCCGAAUACAGCUAGAUUGAAUAACAGGCCAGAUAAAGGAUUCAGAACAAUUGCUUUACUAAGUAAUAGUGAGCCCAUGUUCUAACCAAUGGGACAGAAACUGACCCUCUGUAUCUCUGACACAGUUGCCUUUCAUUGACAGAUUUACAGUGGAGGGGUUGGGAGAGCAGAUGAAUUAAAAAAAAACAAAAGCAAAUCAAGAUCCCCCAUAAAUUUCACGAUCCCCACAUCUUCCACCUCAGCACCUAUUAGAACACCUUACUCUUAAAUUCUGCACAUGUGGAGAUUUAUUUGUAUCCCAGAGGUUUGCUCAGAUGUUUCCUCUGUGCUUUCAAUGCAGGCCCACCCUUUUCUUUCUUCAUAUUAAAACCAUAUAGAUUCUCCUUGAAGCCUUCUCAACUGGUAAUAAUCAUUUACAUCCUUGCUAGUGCUUAUGAUUUUCGAAUUACUUUUAGAUAAUCUAACUCAGCGAUCUCCACACAACCUUAGACACUUAGCCCGGCAAGUAUUGUGCUUUUGCUUUCAUGGAUGAGAAAAAGGAGACUUGGAGUGCUUUGAUUAGCAAACAAGGUUACAGAGCUAAAAAAGGAGUGACACUGGAGUAGAUCCCAGCUUAAAUGAAACCCACUGCUUUACCUGCCCCUAUAGCCUGCAUGAUAUUUCCCUAUUCUGAGUGCUUGGAGCUCUUGGAGUCUCUUACAUCUAAUGUGAUCAUUAAGAGGUACUAACUGUCUGAUUGCUUCUUGUGUGCAGCUAACUCACUGGUGACCCAGCACUUUGGGAGGAUGAGGAGGGUGGAUCACAAGGUCAGGAGUUCGAGACCAGCCUGGCCAACAUGAUGAAACCCCGUCUCUACUAAAAAUACAAAAAUUAGCCAGGCGUGGUGGCAUGCACCUGUAUUCCCAGCUACUUGGGACACUGAGGCAGGAGACUUGCUUGAACCCGGGAGGCAGAGGUUGCAGUGAGCCAAGAUCGUGCCACUGCACUCCAGCCUGGGCGACAGAGUGAGACUCCAUCUCAAAAAUAAGUAAAUGAAUAAAUAAAAAUAAAAUAGAUUGAGCCUCCACAUUUUGCAUGCAGCUUUCUUGGUGCUUGUCCUUCUCCUGUGCUUACUCAAAGAUGGGACAUUGUGCACAAUGAGAAGAGUAUUGGGACCAGUAAGGAAGAAUGAGUCAGAUAUUGUGGGACCUCUUUUUUUGUUGUUUUUUUUUGCUCCCAGAAAUCUUUGAGGUAAGUAACAUAGUCAAUUGAGGUCUGGAGUUAUGUACUCCAUUUAUUCAUUUUUUCUUAACAUAGUCCCUCCUUACUAUGUGAUAUUCUCUGUCCUAGACCUUGAAAAUACAAGUUAAAUAUGGCAUAUUCUUUACCUCUAUGAGCUUAAAAUUGAGUGGGGAAAGUUUCAUUUUUUCUUUGAAAUGAAAACAAACUUAAGUACCGAUAUGCAUGAGAAAAAUAAAUUGUUCAUUUCUUUACCUACAUCUCAUCAGGAGUAAACACAUUCUCUCUCUGGCUAAGCCAAAUAUACCAUAAAUCCCUCCUAAAAAAAUACCCUGAAAUUGAGAAUCCAAUUUUAAUGGCUAAAUUAUAUUUACCUUGAACUGAGCAUUUUCUAUUAGGAUUUACGUAUGCAUCUUGGGGAUUCUGAAUGUUGGACUUUUUUUUCUUUUUUCUUUUAGAUUUUAACCUGAAUGGAAAAGACAAUAUGAGGGUGAUGAAAGACUCUAGAUGGUCCGUCUUGGGGGGAGAAUAACUGUCUUUCUC